rnacentral:rRNA from 1 species
CGAUGAACCACUUCGGUGGGGAUUAGUGGCGAACGGGUGAGUAACACGUGGGCAAUCUGCCCUUCACUCUGGGACAAGCCCUGGAAACGGGGUCUAAUACCGGAUAAUACUCUCGCAGGCAUCAGUGAGGGUUAAAAGCUCCGGCGGUGAAGGAUGAGCCCGCGGCCUAUCAGCUUGUUGGUGAGGUAAUGGCUCACCAAGGCGACGACGGGUAGCCGGCCUGAGAGGGCGACCGGCCACACUGGGACUGAGACACGGCCCAGACUCCUACGGGAGGCAGCAGUGGGGAAUAUUGCACAAUGGGCGAAAGCCUGAUGCAGCGACGCCGCGUGAGGGAUGACGGCCUUCGGGUUGUAAACCUCUUUCAGCAGGGAAGAAGCGAAAGUGACGGUACCUGCAGAAGAAGCGCCGGCUAACUACGUGCCAGCAGCCGCGGUAAUACGUAGGGCGCAAGCGUUGUCCGGAAUUAUUGGGCGUAAAGAGCUCGUAGGCGGCUUGUCACGUCGGGUGUGAAAGCCCGGGGCUUAACCCCGGGUCUGCAUUCGAUACGGGCUAGCUAGAGUGUGGUAGGGGAGAUCGGAAUUCCUGGUGUAGCGGUGAAAUGCGCAGAUAUCAGGAGGAACACCGGUGGCGAAGGCGGAUCUCUGGGCCAUUACUGACGCUGAGGAGCG